CCUACGGGAGGCAGCAGUGAGGAAUAUUGGUCAAUGGGCGGAAGCCUGAACCAGCCAAGUCGCGUGAGGGAUUAAGGCCCUGCGGGUCGUAAACCUCUUUUGCCGGGGAGCAGAGGUCCGGACGUGUCCGGGCCGGGAGAGUACCCGGAGAAAAAGCAUCGGCUAACUCCGUGCCAGCAGCCGCGGUAAUACGGAGGAUGCGAGCGUUAUCCGGAUUUAUUGGGGUUAAAGGGUGCGUAGGCGAGCAUUUAAGCCGGCGGUCAAAUGUCGGGGCUCAACCCCGGCCUGCCGUCGGAACUGAGUGCCUUGAGUGGGCGAGAAGUAUGCGGAAUGCGUGGUGUAGCGGUGAAAUGCAGAGAUAUCACGCAGAACCCCGAUUGCGAAGGCAGCAUACCGGCGCCCUACUGACGCUGAGGCACGAAAGUGCGGGUAUCGAACAGGAUUAGAUACCCUAGUAGUC
rnacentral:rRNA from 1 species